AAGGAGCACCGAUACCGUAAAGGUUCCCCCGCCCCCGCAAUCGUGUGGGAUCUGGUGGUUGGGAGAGGUGCCAGGGUUCUGUAGUGGGAUUCUGGUGGGUGCACAACAAACAUUGAGGCACGUCCCGGUUUCGGGGGUGUCGCCUGGUCUACGGGAACGUGGGGCUGGGGUCGCUGAACACACUGUUGGGUCCUGAGGCAACAGGCCCGCAGGCUCGCCCCCUGUUUUUUGGGUGUGGUGGGUGCUGGUCCCUGACUGUUGGUUGGGGGUUCUGAUUGUCGCCCUGCUUGGUGGUGGGGUGUGGUGUUUGAUUUGUGGAUAGUGGUUGCGAGCAUCAAGCCGCACGAUGUGGCCGGCUCUGGUGGGGCUGUCUCUCUUUGUGGGGGAUGGUUUUUCGUCAGUGUUGGUUGGUGUGGUUUGUUGUAGUGUGAUUCUUUUUUCUCAUUUUUCUUGGUUUGUUUUGUGU
rnacentral:misc_RNA from 1 species